GAUGAACGCUAGCGGCAGGCCUAACACAUGCAAGUCGAGGGGCAGCAUAAAAUAAACUUGUUUAUUUGGUGGCGACCGGCGCACGGGUGCGUAACGCGUAUGCAACCUACCUUAUACUGGGGAAUAGCCCGAAGAAAUUCGGAUUAAUGCCCCAUAGUACUGAGACCUCUCCUGAGGAUUCAGUUAAAGCUUUGGCGGUAUAAGAUGGGCAUGCGUCCAAUUAGCUAGAUGGUGAGGUAACGGCUCACCAUGGCUACGAUUGGUAGGGGGCCUGGGAGGGUGGUCCCCCACACUGGUACUGAGACACGGACCAGACUCCUACGGGAGGCAGCAGUGAGGAAUAUUGGUCAAUGGGCGCAAGCUUGAACCAGCCAUGCCGCGUGAAGGAUGAAGGUUCUAUGGAUUGUAAACUUCUUUUAUUUGGGAAUAAACCUCUUUACGUGUAGAGAGCUGAAGGUACCAAAUGAAUAAGCACCGGCUAACUCCGUGCCAGCCGCCGCAGUAACAC
rnacentral:rRNA from 1 species